rnacentral:rRNA from 1 species
GCCUAACACAUGCAAGUCGAACGGGACUUAGUGGAAAGCGGCUUCGGCCAAUGGAAGCUAAGUGUAGUGGCGAACGGGUGAGUAACGCGUGAGGAACCUGCCUUCCAGUGGGGGACAACAGUUGGAAACGCAUGCUAAUACCGCAUAACAUAAUCGAAACGCAUGAUUUGAUUCUCAAAGCUUUAUGGUGUGGAAGAUGGCCUAGCGUCUGAUUAGCUAGUUGGGGGGGUAACGGCCCACCAAGGCGACGAUCAGUAGCCGGUCUGAGAGGAUGGACGGCAACAUUGCGACUGAGAGACGGCCCAGACUCCUACGGGAGGCAGCAGUGGGGAAUAUUGGGCAAUGGGGGAAACCCUGACCCAGCAACGCCGCGUGAAGUAAGAAGGCCUUCGGGUUGUAAACUUCUUUUACCAGGGACGAAGAACGUGACGGUACCUGGAGAAAAAGCAACGGCUAACUACGUGCCAGCCGCCGCGGUAAAAC